UUUCCGUAGGUGAACCUGCGGAAGGAUCAUUAGUGAAUUUAUCUCUAAUAUCUUCAAACACCUGUGAACUUGUCAUCGUGAACUUGGGAUACUCGCAAGAGUCCCGGUUUAUUUUUACAAACAUAGUGUAAUGAACGUCAUUAUUAUCAUAACAAUAAUAAAACUUUCAACAACGGAUCUCUUGGCUCUCGCAUCGAUGAAGAACGCAGC
rnacentral:misc_RNA from 1 species